AGAGAGAAGAAGAGGAGGAGGAGGUGAGUUCCAUCUGUUACCUCUUGAUUCCCCUCUCUGAGAGCCAAGCUUUCUUCAUUUGCUGCCCCGGAAAUUCAGCCGGCCCCUUUUGCUGGAGCAGGCUGUGCACGGUGGGUAAGCGAGCCGUCUGUGUGCACUCUGUGGCUUCCGCAUCUCUGGUGUGGUGCAGGCGUGGCUCUGAGAUAUUCUGAGCACAGGCGUCUGGGUGCUAUUACUCCACAUUCUGGGACACUGGCUAUCGCAUCUUCGGUGUCACUGAAGCUGUAGUGCGUUCUUUUACGCCAGGAAAUCCCACGUCUGAUGCAACAGUGUUUCUUUAGGACAAACCCUCUCUAGCCUACGGUGGUGUCCUGAGUGCGUGGUGUCCUGGUUUAGGGGUUUAGGAACCUCAAGGACGUGGGAGACAGAAUCUCAAACGGCUCCCUGGGAAGCCUCGCUCUCUGUGGUCCUUCAUGGUUUGGUUUCCCAGGCAGCAGGCUGAGUCUGCAGGAUGGUUAUUGAAGAACAAUGGAGGCAGAUGCUGGAGCGGCUGUAGGAGAGCCUGGCUAGAGGGCAGCCCUCAGAGCUGUCCGGAGUGGGCUGAGGUGGCCAGCCCUGCUCUCCAGCACAGGCCUUUGGCUGUGGCCCCUCACGGGAGGGUGUCGCCGUGGGCAGGGCUUUCUGCAGCUGAGGGGUCCUGGAGCGAGCUGCCAGCAGCAGGUAACGCAUCCACCAUGAGAGUCCGGUGUCCACCACGUGGUCGUGGUGCUCAGGGCUGGCCUCACUGACCCUCCAGGGUGGCCAGGACCUGAGCCAUGGCCUCCACAUCCUCACUCUCAGGUCCUAACCAGUGCAUUCAAGUUCCCUCUGUCCGUUCAGAGAACUCUUACUCAUACUGUAAGACCCAGGUCAAAUGUCACCUUUGCUGAGCUGCCCGUCUCUGACAGCCACCUCUGCAGCACCGGAGCUCCAUUCGCCUCUCAAGGCUCCACAGCGCCUCCUUCCUACCCAUCCUGGAAUUUACAUUCAUCCUAUGGAAAUAAUGUCUUGCAAGCCUGAUCCCCACCCUACACUGACCAGGAGUCCCUUGGGGUCAGACACUGUCUUUUCUUUCUCCUUU
rnacentral:lncRNA from 1 species